GAUGAAGAACGUAGCGAAAUGCGAUACGUAAUGUGAAUUGCAAAUUCAGUGAAUCAUCGAGUCUUUGAACGCACAUUGCGCCCCCUGGUAUUCCGGGGGGCAUGCCUGUCCGAGCGUCAUUGCUGCCCUCAAGCACGGCUUGUGUGUUGGGCCCCGUCCUCCGAUCCCGGGGGACGGGCCCGAAAGGCAGCGGCGGCACCGCGUCCGGUCCUCGAGCGUAUGGGGCUUUGUCACCCGCUCUGUAGGCCCGGCCGGCGCUUGCCGAUCAACCCAAAUUUUUAUCCAGGUUGACGUCGGAUCAGGUAGGGAUACCCGCUGAACUUAAGCAUAUCAAUAAGCGGAGGA
rnacentral:misc_RNA from 1 species